rnacentral:lncRNA from 1 species
GGAGUAGAGAUCGCACUCCAAGGCUAUGCUGAAAGCAAUUAAGAGAGCAAAAAAAUACAGACAACAAAGCCCCCACAUCUUGGCAUUUUUAAAGAAUAGUUAACAGAGACAAAGAUGGAGAAAUAGGAGGUCCCCAGCCAUCAUCCCCCUACAGAAGCAACAAUUUUCCAGCCACCCAUGGACAAAAGUGCCUUUGUGGGAGCCUUGGGAUCCAGG